rnacentral:SRP_RNA from 1 species
UCCUAGGGCCCGUACUAUCAAAUGUUGCUAAACCCCGUCAGGACUGGAAGGUAGCAGCGGUAGGCAAUUUUUUGGUGAGUACGCAAGUCUUAGGUUUA